rnacentral:lncRNA from 1 species
CCAGGAACUGAUCUUCAGGAAUGAGCAUAGAAUCACCGAGUCUUUGCCUCUUUGGCUCAGGCUCCUCCGGAAGUGGAGGAGCUUCCUCGGGUGGAGGCGGUGGGGGAAUUCCAAGAGGCAUAGGUGGGUGAACCAUAUGCAUCCCAUGCUGGGGCAUGACAUGGGGUGCAUAAGGUCGAGGAGCUGUUAGAGGUGUAUACAUGGGAGUACGUCCAAUACUCCCUGUAUGACCAUCCCAUAUGACCUGCUUUGGUUGCUCAUAUUUUUUCUUUUCAAUCUCUGCCUUGACUGCGUUAGAAACCUCCUCCUCAGUCGUACCAAAUAGAUCAGGACGGGUCCGUGCAAGUCCCAUAAUGUUUUUGGAUAUGUCAUCAUUCUGGGCAAGAGGGGUAUCCCGAAUCUUAGCAAACAUUCUCUCUUUCUGCUCCUUGUACUUGGGAUCAAUGAGAGAGAUUCUCAUGUGUUCAGACAUCUCAUUGAUCAGAAUUAGCUCACCAGUGAUUGGGGAAACAACGUAUUUAGUUGGAUCUCUCUCAGCAGGAUUUCUCUCCUCAGGCCUCUUCCAGUUCUUCACAAUUCUCAUUGGGGUUAUUGUGGCUUCACUUUGCUUACCGCCACCAUUUUCUUCAAGACUAGCAACCCUCAUGCCUUGUUCGAAAAGCUGAACCUCUUCUUCAUCCAUCUCCAUUCCUACUUCCUUUCCAGGCUCAACAAUUUCUUCCUCCUCCAAAGUUAACAUCUUGCUUCUCCUUAUGACUUCCUCAAGUGCCAUUGGAGCUGGUAAAUCAUCAUCCUCGUUAUUCGCAAAGUCUAUCAUCUCGACAACAACAAAAUCAUGCCAAUCAAUAAUCCUAGCCCUCUGUUUCCUUUCUUUCCGCACCUCAUCCAUGAUAUUUUUUUGCCUUGCCUGCUCUUGAGAACAACCACUUCACAGAGAGAGAGAGGGAGAGAGGGAGGGAGAGAGACGAGAGAGAGAGAGGGAGAGAGGGAGAGAGAGGGAGAGAGACGAGAGAUAUGUUCUCCUUGUUAAUUCAAUACGGUGGUUAGAAUAUAUAGACAAGCUGGCCGGAUUUUUCUUUUUCGACACGGAUUGGGCUUUGUAUUUCGAUUCCGCCCAAAAUUUAAGUUCCAUCACAAACAAUAUCGAAGAGGGAAAGAAUUGAUUCAAUCCGAAUUGAUAUCGACUAAGGUUAGAACUUUGCUUUUGCAUCUAUAUAAGGAUCGAGAGAGAAUCAUAGAGAGAUCGAGAGACCAGGGAGAUCGAGAGAGAAUCAUAGAGAGAUCGAGAGACCAAGGAGAUGUCGACUUUACUCGAGGUGACUCGCGCGUAUCACGAGGAAGUCGAACGCCUCGAGCGAACAAUCGUCGAGGAUCUCCAAAACGAUCCUACUUGUCACAGAGACCGUCUUCACCAGAGCCACCGCGUUCGCAGUAUGAUCGAUCAAAUCUCCGCCACUACCUACCUUGACUCUUCUAAAGUCGAUAUUGUGUAACAAAAUAUUUGAAAUUCAUGAAAUUUAGUAGUAUCGCUAUCGGGGAUCAGGAAUAUUUCAGGAUGUAAACAGAUCAUCAAUGCCCCCUCCAAUCAUUGAUCAAGUUGAUGGAGUAACAUGUACAAGAAAUUGUUACUCUAAUCAAUAAUCAACAAGAUUAAUUAGGGUAAUCACAGCCAUAAUAAGCAAUCAUAUAAAUAAAUCCUUGCUUUAACGUUGCCCUUCUGCAAAAGGCUGCGCGUGUUGGACGUGGAGCCUCUAGGUUCAUCACAAGGGUUUUCAUAGACCUGUUCUUGACAAUAUAUGUAGCUAGCUGCUCAAGCACUUCAUCAAUAAUAGAGCAUGGAAUCCAAUAAUAUAUUGUGGAAUUCAAUUACCAAACAAAACAAAAUGAUGAGGUGGAUUAUUGGUUCCUAGAUUACUUUGUUGUUUUCAUGAUGAUUCGAUCCAAUACUUUUUAUUAGACCCAGCAAUUUUUGACACUAACACGACAAACUGACACGAAAUCGUAGAAUUUAUCUAUAUCCAAUAUUUCACGAGUUUCCCCUUCAAACCCCCAAGGCUGCAUUAUACGUCUAAGUUUUAUCAUACAUUGUGUUUAGGUAUGACCAUAACUCAUAAGGCUUCUGUGAAUCUUGGAUAUCUAGAAAAAUAUUGAUUAUACUGUGAGGUUCUUGAGAUGGCUGAGCUCAAAAUUGGCCUAUGACAUCCUUUAACCUAGGGGAGAGCGGAUGUCGGAUCGGUGCGGUUUCUUAGUAAAACCGAAACCGAAACCGCAUACCCUCGGUUUUUAAAAUUCAAAACCGAAACCGCGGGUUCGGUUACGGAUCGGUUUCGGUUUUAAAUAUCUCGGUUCGGUUACAAUUACUUCGGUUUCGGUUUAUAAACCGCAUACACAAAAAUAAACACCGAAAGUCUUCAUUCACUCAAAAUACGAGAAAUUAAUAUUACAAUAUUUGUACUUCCAAAAUAAGAAUUCAAGAUAAUAGAGUAAUAAAAUGCCACAAUCUCAGCAACAGCUUCUCGACUUCGUCUCCAGCCACAUAUUCCUCCUGAAAGGAACAAAAAUGGGAUCAGAUAUCAAUUACUAAUUGACAAUUAGUAGUUUAGUACCAUAUGCAGUAUUGCAGUAGACUGACUAUGCAAGAAUGAGAUGAAUAAUUAGUCUACUUCAACAUAAAAUAAGUCUACUUCUCUGUCUAUGCUACAUAUCCCCCAACAUUUGAUUAUUAGAAAGAGAGCAAAGAGAAAAUAAGUUUUACUUAUGCACACUGUUAUUAUAUUCUGGAAGGGCAAUACGAACAAAGUUACACGCUUAGACUACAAAACAAACAAUAUUUAAGAUUCAGUAAAGCUGACUUAAUUCCUUGAUGGUCCAAAACCAGAAAGUUUUGUCACUCUUAACUUUACAGGAAGGAUAUUACAAUAUAAGCAACCUGAUUGAUGCUGCUGACAAUAUAAUUUAGUCGCGCAAAUCGUGAUCUGCACACAAGCCAGAAUUCUCAAUUUCAAAUGGAAUUAAUAAAAAAGUGCAAAAGGAGAAUGAUACAAUAAAAGAAAAAAAGUCAAGCAUCACUAUUUUAUCUUCUUUCUGAUUUUGUAUCAAUACCUGGAAAGGCCAAAGUAUUUGAGACAGGUCAAUAUUAGGAUAAUCUCAUAAUUACAGAAAAAUCAAGCAGCAAACAUCUAGCCGCCUGAUGUAUAUGAUACUUACAGAAACCAAAAACAGAUUAACAUUGAUGUCCUAAAUUCUCAUACAUACUUACCUUUUCGGAUCUAAUCAUCGAUAUCCAAGUAUUGAAAGGUAUUUCCAGUGACUUUUAGCUCAUCUGCAAAUAAUAACAACGAACAGAUUAUGAGAUUAGGACCAAACCAGUACACAAACAAAAAGCAAUAGAGUGCAAUGACGACAAAGACACAAACAGCAAACAACAGAUUGGAAUGUAAACUAGCUACCAGCACUCCUGCAGAAUGCUCAACAGGCUAAUACAUUUAUAAUUACAGAAGACUGUGAAUUAGGCAGACUGUGCAGAAUGAAAGCAAUAGGCAGACUGUGCAGACAAGUAGACAACUGAAAACAGUAUACAUGUAAAAUCUGAAAAUUUAAAACCAAACUCACCAUUUUCUAACUUCUCAAGUUGUAAAUAGUCUUCAGGUUCCCCUCUUAGAUCAGUGAUAAUUUCUGAAGUUCUUAGCCAGUCUUGGCUACAAAUUAAAGCUUCAACUGUUUUUGGUGAAAGCGAGCUUCGGUAGGCAUCAAUUGUCCUUCCACUAGUGCUAAACGCAGCUUCUGAGGCGACCGAAGAAACUGGCAUUCCCAGUACAUGCCUAGCAAUCUUAGAAAGUAUUGGAAAUCUUGUGGAGUUCAUCUUCCACCAUUCUAAUAUAUCAAAAACUUCACCUUUUCUUUCUCUUGCAUCAACCAAGUAGACAUCAAGUUCCGUCUUUCCCGUCCCUCCUUGAUCUCUAUCAUCCAUGUACUUUUCAAAAUCAUCAUUCCAUGAAUCAUCCGAUUGAUUAGUUUGAAUUUUGGAAGUUGAAUUCCCUUGCCCCUUCAAACUUAAAUUCAAGUAGUAGUCAAAAAGUUCUUGCAAUGUCUUCAAUACUUUGUCACACAUUAUAGAAUUUGUUUUCCAAUAUAGCCUCCGGUCCUCUAAGAAAUUUCUUUAAAUAUGAAAUCGCUUUAUCAUUCGAGGAAGCAUUAUCUAAUGUGAUAGUAAAUACACGAUCUAACCCCCAUUGUGCAAAUAAAUCAAGUAGCAUUUUUCCUAUUGCAUCCCCUUUAUGACUUCCAAUUUGUGGGAAAUUUAAAAUUCUUUUACACAUCUUCCAAUCAUCAUUGAUCCAAUGAGCCGUAAGGCACAUAUAAUUAGUGUUUUGGACCGAUGUCCAAGUAUCCGUGGUAAAGGAGACUCUUUGAUUGGCCAAGCUCUUUUUUAAUUUCACUAGUUCCUCACCAUAUAUCUUUAGGCAAUCUCUAGCAACCGUCCAUCUACUUGGCAUCUUAAAUUUUGGUUCGGCUUCAUUUAAUAACUCUCUAAACCCUUCGUGUUCCACAAUCCUAAAGGGUUGAUUGUCUUUGAUACACAUUAAGGAAAUUUUCUUCCUUAACCUUUCUUGACUAAAGGUGUGUGCUUUAAUCAUGUGAAGUUUAUCUUCCUUUGAUAUUUUUUCAAACCGCAAUGUCUUUUGCAAUUUAUCAAUAUUAGUAUGAAGUGGUGAUUUAGGACAUACCGUUUUCAAAUGAUUCAUCAUUGCCGAUGUACCAUUUCGUGAAAAACAUCCAAUUACCACGUUACACAACCGACACUUGGCCUUUUCUUUACCAACUGGACAGCCUUCUAAUUUAACAAAAUACUCCCAAGCCGGCGAAAUCUUUUUAGUCUUCUCAUCACGCAACUCAUCUUGUUUUUCACCAGUUGGUACCUUUUCGUUUUCCAGAUUAACAUGUAUCUACAAAAUUAACAGGGGUACUGAUAAAUAAUAAGGAUAUCAAAAGUAAAAACAAAAUGACUAAAACUAAACAUAAUAUAAAAGUACACAACGAAGUAGAGUAUUACAGCGGAAAUCAAAUCGAGUCUUACCCCUUCAUCUGUACGAGGAUUUUGAGUUUGUUGCUGCAGCAAAUCAUCAUCCAUACUUUAUCUUCUUAUCUCCUGUCAAUGGAUGCUGGCUUGCUGGGUCUUGCUAUGGAGAUUAGAAAUUAGGUCGCUGCUGUGCUGCUCACUGCUCAGUGCUCACUUUGAUCGAUUGUAAACGAAUUAGGGAUUAGUGUAAAUGGACUCUGAAGGUGAAGGCUGAAGCAACGAAUGUAUCAAAAGCCCAGUUUAAACAUACCCAUAAAACAUCAGUGCUUGGCCCAGCUAGAUAUUAUAACUUUUAGUAUCAGAAAUAUAUGUAAUUUAUAAUUUUUAAAAUUAAAAAUUUUAUAUAAAUUAUAAAUAAUAUAUAUAAAUAUUAUUUAUUAAAAAAUCGGAUCGGUUCGGUUUUUUUCGGAUCGGUUCCUAGCUAUAACCGGAACCGCACAAUCGGUUUCGGUUUUUAAUUUUUCGGUUUCGGUUUCGGUUUCGGUUCGGUUUUAUACGGUUCGGUUUUUAGCGGUUUUUAGCGGUUUCGGUUUCGGUUUUAUUCGGUUUUUUGCUCACCCCUACUUUAACCUCCGAGAUACUGAGAACAUUUUAAUCGCUCAUAAUCAAGUCCCAGAAUCUGAAAUAGUGUUAUCUAACAGUAAGAUAUCUUAAGGAGAUGUUUGCUUUUUUUCUGCAGACUUACAUGGAUUCAGAAAUAGUGUGAUCAGAAUCAGGUCACACAGCAUGAAGCUGCGCCCCUUGAACAAAGCGCAUAAAGAAUACAAGCUCUGAAAUUCUGUAUAAAGCAAAAAAAAUGACGAAGCUUGUAGAUGAUAGAGAAACCAGGCCGCGAUCUCAACAGUACAGCAGCUGAGUUGAGAUUCAUACAACGGACUGGUUAAGUAUUGUAAAAUUUGUCUAGGCUGCACCUUCUGUUGUAUGUUGAUAUGUAAAUGAAGAUAAAAGUCCAUCCUAGAAUGUUCGUUUAGUGACUCUCUUUUAAACGGAAAUCUUGUCAAUUGGAUGAUACUGAACAUAUAUAGGUAACUCUGGGACUAUAAUCAUCAAAUAAAAACCUGAAAAUGUUGGCGGGUGAAACAGAAAAUUUACGUUAGGUAUAAUCACGUUUUUAUGGUUUUUUAAACCAUCACCAAGAUGAUAUAUUUUAAACAGAAAUGAGCAAAUAGGUUGCAGACAUUAAUGAGCAAAUGUAAAUCCGAUUUAACAAUUCCCAACCUCUCACGACGAAUGCUUAUGUAAUUUUCAUAGUCAAAAUUCAGAAGAUCUGCUAACAAAAAAUCUUAUUUUUUUCUACCACCACGCUCUCUCAACGAAAGGGAAAGUGUUUCUCCUCCUGAGACAUUGUAAUAAGCAAGGGAAAGAUGAUCCUUAAGAAAACCAGCCUUUCCACUCAGUUUCUGUUUGUUUGAAGGAAGCUGAAUCUCUCCCGCAAUUUCCUCUUUCAAACGGCUAACCGUCUCAGAUAAAGAUUGUACUCUAAUCUCCAGUACCUGCCCUUUCAGGUUUCCUUCAUCAACAUUUGGCACAGACACAUGAAUACUUGCCGGUCCCUGAGGUCAAAGAAGAAAAAAUCAAUCAGAAAUGCUACAUAGAAUGACAAGUCAGAAUUACUGAAACAGAGAUGCAAGGAAACCUUGCAGUACAAUAAUAAAAUUAAAAGAUACUCCAUACCUGGUGUUGAGCCAGGAACUGAUCUUCAGGAAUGAGCAUAGAAUCACCGAGUCUUUGCCUCUUUGGCUCAGGCUCCUCCGGAAGUGGAGGAGCUUCCUCGGGUGGAGGCGGUGGGGGAAUUCCAAGAGGCAUAGGUGGGUGAACCAUAUGCAUCCCAUGCUGGGGCAUGACAUGGGGUGCAUAAGGUCGAGGAGCUGUUAGAGGUGUAUACAUGAGAGUACGUCCAAUACUCCCUGUAU